CUUAGCAGAGAUGCUUUGGUGCCUUCGGGAACUCUGAGACAGGUGCUGCAUGGCUGUCGUCAGGCUCGUGUUGUGAAAUGUUGGGUUAAGUCCCGCAACGAGCGCAACCCUUAUCCUUUGUUGCCAGCGGCUCGGCCGGGAACUCAAAGGAGACUGCCGGUGAUAAACCGGAGGAAGGUGGGGAUGACGUCAAGUCAUCAUGGCCCUUACGGCCAGGGCUACACACGUGCUACAAUGGCGCAUACAAAGAGAAGCGACCUCGCGAGAGCAAGCGGACCUCAUAAAGUGCGUCGUAGUCCGGAUUGGAGUCUGCAACUCGACUCCAUGAAGUCGGAAUCGCUAGUAAUCGUAGAUCAGAAUGCUACGGUGAAUACGUUCCCGGGCCUUGUACACACCGCCCGUCACACCAUGGGAGUGGGUUGCAAAAGAAGUAGGUAGCUUAACCUUCGGGAGGGCGCUUACCACUUUGUGAUUCAUGACUGGGGUGAAGUCGUAACAAGGUAGGCGUAGCGAG
rnacentral:rRNA from 1 species